rnacentral:rRNA from 1 species
AACCUCCGCAAUGUGAGAAAUCGCGACGGGGGGAUCCCAAGUGCCAUUCUUAACGGGAUGGCUUUUCAUUAGUGUAAAGAGCUUUUGGAAUAAGAGCUGGGCAAGACCGGUGCCAGCCGCCGCGGUAACACCGGCAGCUCUAGUGGUAGCAAUUUUUAUUGGGCCUAAAGCGUCCAUAGCCGGUUUAAUAAGUCUCUGGUGAAAUCCUGUAGCUUAACUGUGGGAAUUGCUGGAGAUACUAUUAGACUUGAGACCGGGAGAGGUUAGAGGUACUCCCAGGGUAGAGGUGAAAUUCUGUAAUCCUGGGAGGACCGCCUGUUGCGAAGGCGUCUAACUGGAACGGUUCUGACGGUGAGGGACGAAAGUUAGGGGCGCGAACCGGAUUAGAUACCCGGGUAGUCCUAACUGUAAACGAUGCGGACUUGGUGUUGGGGUGGCUUUGAGCUGUCCCAGUGCCGAAGGGAAGCUGUUAAGUCCGCCGCCUGGGAAGUACGGUCGCAAGACUGAAACUUAAAGGAAUU